rnacentral:ribozyme from 1 species
UCGCUUCAUCCGCACAGGAGACGGAUAUGAUCGAGGAGCAUAAAAAGAGAAGAGAAGAGAUCAAAACAAACAAACAAACACAUCAAUCCAACUCAGGCAGGCAGGCAGGUUCGCCGUUCCGAUGAGUGAACGUUCGGAUGAUCGAGGGUUCCUCCUUCUCUUCGUUCAACUAGUCGAAUGCAUG